CCCUCAGUGGCGAAACGGUAGACGCAGUGGACUUAAAAUCCACCGGUGGUGAAACCGUGCCAGUUCGAGUCUGGCCUGAGGGA
rnacentral:tRNA from 1 species